UACGAAGGGGCUAGCGUUGUUCGGAAUUACUGGGCGUAAAGCGCGUGUAGGCGGGCGAAUAAGUCAGGGGUGAAAUGCCAAGGCUCAACCUUGGAACUGCCUUUGAUACUGUUCGUCUUGAGUCCGGGAGAGGUGAGUGGAACUGCGAGUGUAGAGGUGAAAUUCGUAGAUAUUCGCAAGAACACCAGUGGCGAAGGCGGACUCACUGGCCCGGAACUGACGCUGAGACGCGAAAGCGUGGGGAGCAACA
rnacentral:rRNA from 1 species